rnacentral:rRNA from 1 species
GAUGAACGCUGGCGGCGUGCCUAAUACAUGCAAGUCGAGCGAAUGGAUUAAGAGCUUGCUCUUAUGAAGUUAGCGGCGGACGGGUGAGUAACACGUGGGUAACCUGCCCAUAAGACUGGGAUAACUCCGGGAAACCGGGGCUAAUACCGGAUAACAUUUUGAACCGCAUGGUUCGAAAUUGAAAGGCGGCUUCGGCUGUCACUUAUGGCUGGACACGCGUCGCAUUAGCUAGUUGGUGAGGUAACGGCUCACAAAGGCAACGAUGCGUAGCCGACCUGAGAGGGUGAUCGGCCACACUGGGACUGAGACACGGCCCAGACUCCUACGGGAGGCAGCAGUAGGGAAUCUUCCGCAAUGGACGAAAGUCUGACGGAGCAACGCCGCGUGAGUGAUGAAGGCUUUCGGGUCGUAAAACUCUGUUGUUAGGGAAGAACAAGUGCUAGUUGAAUAAGCUGGCACCUUGACGGUACCUAACCAGAAAGCCACGGCUAACUACGUGCCAGCCGCCGCAGUAA